rnacentral:rRNA from 1 species
ACACUCCUGCGGGAGGCAGCAGUGGGGAAUAUUGCACAAUGGGCGCAAGCCUGAUGCAGCCAUGCCGCGUGUAUGAAGAAGGCCUUCGGGUUGUAAAGUACUUUCAGCGGGGAGGAAGGCAAUACGGUUAAUAACCGUGUUGAUUGACGUUACCCGCAGAAGAAGCACCGGCUAACUCCGUGCCAGCAGCCGCGGUAAUACGGAGGGUGCAAGCGUUAAUCGGAAUUACUGGGCGUAAAGCGCACGCAGGCGGUCUGUCAAGUCGGAUGUGAAAUCCCCGGGCUCAACCUGGGAACUGCAUUCGAAACUGGCAGGCUUGAGUCUUGUAGAGGGGGGUAGAAUUCCAGGUGUAGCGGUGAAAUGCGUAGAGAUCUGGAGGAAUACCGGUGGCGAAGGCGGCCCCCUGGACAAAGACUGACGCUCAGGUGCGAAAGCGUGGGGAGUAAACAGGAUUAGAAACCCCAGUAGUCCC